CAGGUCUUAGAGCACUUGUUUAGUCCUUUUUUCCUAUUUUGACUCUGAAGUAAAAUAAUAAGUGUGCUUAUUACAUUUAGUUUCUUUCUAUACAGACACCUAGCACAUGAUUUUGCUUUCUAACUUCACACUUAACUCCCUGAAAACAUCCAUGUAUGCAUAUCAGUGUUCUUUCUAGUUUCAGAGGCUGAGUUUAUGUCCAGAAUGAAUGCUAAUAUAUAUUGUUGUCUGGAUACUAGGGCCCCAUCCUUCACUAUUCCUCUCUCUCUCUUUCUUCUGUCUCUCCCCUCCCUCUCUCUCCCUCCCUCUCUUACCCUAACUCUCCAUCCAUCCCUCUAUCUCAUCUCGGUCUUUCCCUCUGUCCUGUGUUUUCAAUUCCUUCAGUUCCACCUGCUCUUUCUUUUUAGACUCUUUCCUUUCAGAACAUAAAUACUCCCAGUCUCUUGUUCUAAAAAUAAUAUCCUAUAACUGUCUUCUCUUUCCUUCCUUUCAAAACCAAACUUCUUGAUGAAGUAGAGCACUCCCCACUCCAUUUCCUCGCCUCUAAUUCCAUCAAGGGCCUACUGCAAUUUGGCCUCUGCUCACACAACUCCUCAAGGCACCAAAGAGGUCAGUAACUCCCUCUCACUGAACAGUUCCCAGGCAGGAUUUUACUUGGAGUUUGUGGCAUUUAAUCGAGUUGACUCUUCCCUUCCUAUAUGCAUUCCUUCCUUGGCUUCUCUUUUUUGUUUCUACAUUUCCUUCUUUCUCUCACUACUUUUGAACCACAAAUACUUAAGUAAAAUUAUGUGCAGUGUUGAGCAUAUUCUUACAUUUAAAAGGAAAAUAAAUGCCAAUCUGAUUGUACAGGAAAAGGUUUCAAAUUGCCCAGACCCUAAAAUUAUGUAUGAAAAGCAGUCAUUAUCUAUACUUCAAAUUAGCUAAAUACAUAAAACUAUAACUUUAUCUUCAUUUAUCAGCAUAGGAAAAACUACUUUGUUCUACGCACGGAUCCUCGGGUGACUGGACUGACCUGACCAGGAGAAAGCCCUUGGUAGGAAGGCACAAUGCUAACUCUCUCAACAUCAUAUGACUACAGAGAACAGGUGUCAAGAGUCUCAACUGUUUGGUACUGAAAACAGGAGAAACAGAAAUGAAAAAAAAAAUCCUCGCUGCAGGAAUUCAAACUAAACCGUAUGAGAACAUGGAUAGUGAAAUGGAUUACUAAGGACAUAACAAAUAGGUAUGAGGAACGACAACAACAACAAAAAAAAACAGGUAAAAUGAAGAUAAUAAAGUGCUAUUUCCAGAAGAGCUUGGUCAGGAUUUGAAGGGGUAAAAACAUACGCAUUCCCUUUUGUUUGCAAGGCAGCCUCUGACAAUGAAGAUGAAUUAAAGACUCAGGAAGCUAAUGCCCUUGAUGUUAAUUCCCUUACAGUUCUCUUUCUUGCAGAAACUUCUUAGAGAUCAGAUGGCUAAGACCUAAUCUUUAUUUCAUGUUUCUGUAACUUUAAAAUGAAUUUCUCUCUGCUGCUUCUCAGAUACUGACAAUAAAUCCAUAGUGCAAAUACUGAGAACACUAGAUUUUGGAAGAAACCAAAGUAACAAAGCCAAAACCUUUAUUCUGGAUUAAUAUAUAUUUUUGAAUCAGUAACGUAAUGGCUAAACAAUCACAUUAGAAUUGACACUUGCCGUUUUAGAGUGGGGGAUAAAUUGGGGCAUGUGAAGUAUCCUCGCAAAGUUCUCAGAUGAUGCAUUUUGGUUGACUGACUCUAUUACUGAUGAAAACAUCAAGGCAGCUCUUCACUGGGUUAUAAAAUAUUGUGACUAUUUUAAAAUUGUUCUUAUUCUUUUUAGUUUUCCAACACUCCUACUUCUGACAAAACCAAGCACUAUGGCGUGAAUGCUUCUGUUCUCCUCAAAAUUCCUAUGUUGAAAUCCUGACUCCCAAGGUGAUGGUAUUAGUUGGUACCUUUGGGAGGUGAUUAGAUUAUGAGGGUGGAGACUCGUGAAUGGGAUUAGUGCCCUUAUAAAUAGAGGCCUCAGCGAGUUUGCCGAUCCCUUCAACCAUGUGAAGAUACAGGAGAAGUUAGCUUUCUACAACGGAGAAGAGGGCCCUCCCUAGACCUUGAUCUUGCUGGUACCCUGAUCUUAGACUUCCAACCUCCAGCAAUGUGAGAAAUAAAAAUCAGUUGUUUAUCAGCUACCCAGUGUCUGGUAUUUUUUUUAUAGCAGUCCAAACAGACUAAGACACCAAAAUAUUUCCAGUGUGUUUUAAAAUAUAGAAGCAGCUACAACAUAAUCCCACUUUUUAAAACAGUAGCAUAAUACAUUUCAACAAUUAUUUCACACUUGUAGGAAACCCUCUUGAGAAGUCCCUUGAAAAAUAAAAAAGCAUGGGGACAUCUGGGUGGCUCAGUUGGUUAAGUGUCUGACUCUUGAUUUUGACUCAGGUCAGGUGUCAGGAUCUUGAGAUCGAGCCCUGCCUUGGGCUCUGUGCUGAGUGUGGAGCCUGCUUAAGAUUCUCUCUCUUCCUCUUCCUCUGCCCCUCCCUCCUCUCUAUUGCCGUCUCUAAAAAACAAAAGACAAAAACAAAACAAAAAAACAUUUUUGAUCUUAAAUCUAGUUCAUACUAUCUACUAGUUAUGAUUAUUAACAUGGCCCAUGACUUGAGUAAGUAUAUGAGGAAUAAGAAUUUUUUUAGGCUCACACAUACGCAUUUUAUCAUAAGCAUGGGGAAUUGUACUAUUUCAUGCAAUAUUAUCAUAAAGCAACUUUAUUAUUUGGACUCCCACCACCACUUUAAACUUAUUCAUUGGGGCCAUGUCCUCCCUCACACAUGGAUGCAGACUUGUACUGAACUAUGACUUGACUUCUGUUUGGUUUUGGUUAUUGAAAUCCCUAUGGGCGCUUUCUCAUUUCAAUUCCAAAUGAAGCAAACUUGGUUUUAAAUUAAGAUUUCUUCUUUUCCUUCCCCCCAACUAUUAAAAUCAAAGGA